UGCGUCACUCGUCUUCCCCUGCGUCACUCGUCUCCCCCCGCGUCCUCUUCCCGUCCUCCUCGCCGCCGCCCUCCUGCCCGCCGUCCUCCCAUCCUCCUCCUCGCCUCCACUCCUCAUGGCUCUAGGGAGCUGCACCUUGCCCCCACCUCACCUCACCUUGCCUCGUGCUCCACCUCCAGCACUCGGUGGCUGAAAAAGCUUCAAUUUUUUGACACAUCCGGUGGCGGAAGUGCCAGAUCCUGUGGCGGCGUUGUAGAUCCGGUGGCAGCGAAGCUCGAUCCGGUGGCGUGUCCUGGUGCUCCUCCUCACCGUGCAGGGACGGCGGUGGCGCUAGUGUUGCUGCCGAUCUGUGUUCUACAUUGGCUACAGCCACUGUUAGUUCACUGAGUCUUAUUGCUUCCCGAUGAAUUUCUUCUUCCUCAUCCAGCAACAUCUCGUCUCCUGUUAAAUAAGGAGCAAAUGGUAUGUGCUGGUUACUGCUGCUGCUGGUGUAGCUGUUGCUGCUGGUGGUGAUGUUCAUGGGUGCUGCUGCUAUUUCUGGAGUGCUGCUGCUGCUGCUUCAAACUUUUGGAGUAAACUGCUGCUGCUUCUUCAAACUGUUGGAGUAUAUUGGGUCAUCUAGAUUAACAAACCUCCCUGCAAAUAAAUUUAGCCAUGCCUGCUCCCAUUCGCCUAGUGAUUUAUUCAAUAGCCUUUUGGUAUCUAAAAACAAAAGAAAGAUGAUUAUAUUCUGCAAGUUUCAAAAGAACUUGAUGGACAAACCGUGUCUGAUGGAAAAACAAAUGCGGAAAAGAGGGAGUAGAUGCUCAAUGUGGUUACUUCACGAGUUUGUUAUGUUUUAUUGAAUCGCUUGGGAAUGUCAUGUCCUUCUGGACAUUGACCAUCUGUUUAUCCAUUCUCACAUUCUGGCAUUCUAACUAGUACUGUUAGGACAUGCUUAUCGUUGCAGCAUUUCGAGCUCAUGCAGUACUACUGUUUAUAUCUAAUCAAGAGCUUGUGAUUCAGAGCUCAUGCCAUACCACUUCUUAUCUCUAAUCAAAUGAUUGCUCUGAUGAAAAUUAUCUGACGAUCCAACAUGAACAGGAUGCUGCGAUCGACGGCCUGAACAACAAGACCCACAUGAAGAUCCUGCUCAAGUGGAUGUGGGCGAAGAGGAUCAUCAAGCUCUCCUGCACGCAGCUCGGCAACACCAAGAAAUCCUUUAACUGUGAACUGCAGGUGCUGUGGAGGAGAAGCACCAUGAGCCUAGAGCCUCGGCCCUGGAGUGCAGUGAAUUGCAGGGGCCGUGGGGCAGGGCGAGCAGGAGCUCCACUGACGGCAGGGGUAGAAGGAGCUCCGGCGAGCAGAGCCUGGAGUUCGAGCAGGAGGCAGGCGGGGAGGUGAUCCGGCGAGCAGAGCCUCCAGCUCGAGCGGGACCUUGAGGACGCAUGGGGGCAGGAGCUCCACCGGCGGCAGGGGGAGAAGGAUCUCUGGCAAGCAGAUCCUGGAGUGCAAGCAGAGUCUCGAGCUCGAGCAGCUUCAGGAGGGAGAUUUGAGGGGCGCCAGUAGGAGCUUGAGGGAAGCGAGCAGGAAGAGGAUGUGUCGGCGAGAUCCUGCCCCGGCGAGGUGCUAAGGAUCGUUGAGGUGGAGGGAGCUUGAAGACAAAGUUUGAAAUGUACUAGACUAUAGUGUAAAACUGACAUUAGUGCAAAAAAAUUCUCUCCCGCGUCA